GACGAACGCUGGCGGCGUGCUUAACACAUGCAAGUCGAACGAAGUGGCGAAAGGGUGAGUAAUACGUGGGUAACCUCCCCUCCUUUUUGGGAUAAGCCUUGUAAACGGGGUCUAAUACCGAAUAAAGGGGGAUGGGCUCGCGGCCUAUCAGCUUGUUGGUGGGGUGAUGGCCUGCCAAGGCGGCGACGGGUAGCCGGCCUGAGCGGGUGACAGGCCACAUGAGGACUGAGAGACCGCCCAGACGCCUACCGGAGGCAGCAGUGGGUGAAUGUGCACAAUGGGCGAGAGGCUGCUGCAGCGAAGCCACGUGGGGGAUGAGGGCUUUCGGGUUGUAAACUUCUUUCGCGAGCGAACGGGUAGGUGGAGAAGAAGCGCCGGCUAACUACGUGCCAGCAGCCGCGGUAAUUC
rnacentral:rRNA from 1 species